rnacentral:rRNA from 1 species
CCUACGGGUUGCAGCAGUGGGGAAUAUUGCACAAUGGGCGCAAGCCUGAUGCGGCCAUGCCGCGUGUAUGAAGAAGGCCUUCGGGUUGUAAAGUACUUUCAGCGGGGAGGAAGGCGAUAAGGUUAAUAACCUUGUCGAUUGACGUUACCCGCAGAAGAAGCACCGGCUAACUCCGUGCCAGCAGCCGCGGUAAUACGGAGGGUGCGAGCGUUAAUCGGAAUUACUGGGCGUAAAGCGCAUGCAGGCGGCCUGUUAAGUCAGAUGUGAAAGCCCGGGGCUUAACCUCGGAAUUGCAUUUGAAACUGGCAGGCUAGAGUCUUGUAGAGGGGGGUAGAAUUUCAGGUGUAGCGGUGAAAUGCGUAGAGAUCUGGAGGAAUACCGGUGGCGAAGGCGGCCCCCUGGACGAAGACUGACGCUCAGGUGCGAAAGCGUGGGGAGCAAACAGGAUUAGAUACCCUCGUAGUC